rnacentral:rRNA from 1 species
GACGAACGCUGGCGGCGUGCCUAAUACAUGCAAGUCGAACGCAGUGGGGACGGGUGAGUAACACGUGGGUAACCUCCCCUCAGAGGGGCUAAACCUUGGCAACAGGUGCUAAACCGAUACUGAUGGAUGGACCCGCGAUGCAUUAGCUAGUUGGUGAGGUAACGGCUCACCCAGGCCACGAUGCAUACGCGACCUGAGAGGGUGAUCGGCCACAAGGGGACUGAGACACGGCCCAGAAUCCUACGGGAGGCAGCAGUAGGGAAUCUUCGGCAAUGGAGGAAAGUCUGACCGAGCAACGCCGGGUGAGUGAAGAAGGUUUUCGGAUCGUAAAACUCUGUUGUUAGAGAAGCGGUAUCUAACCAGAAAGCCACGGCUAACUACGUGCCAGCAGCCGCGGUAAUAC